CCGUCUCCGGCGCCCGGCUUGCGCACGGAAGAUGGCCGAGCAGGUACCCAAGUCGGUGCUGUUCGUGUGCCUGGGUAACAUCUGUCGGUCACCGAUUGCAGAAGCAGUUUUCAGAAAACUUGUAACUGACCAAAAUGUUUCAGAUAAUUGGAGGAUAGACAGUGCAGCGACAUCCACGUAUGAAUGGGUCAUUGACAGCGGUGCCGUUUCUGGCUGGAACGUGGGCCAUUCCCCAGACCCAAGAGCUAUGAGCUGCUUAAGAAAUCAUGGCAUUAACACAGCCCAUAAGGCAAGACAGGUUACCAAAGAAGACUUCACCACAUUUGAUUAUAUACUGUGUAUGGAUGAAAGCAAUCUGAGGGAUUUGAAGAGAAAAAGUAAUCAAGUUAAAAACUGCAAAGCUAAAAUUGAACUACUUGGGAGCUAUGAUCCACAAAAACAACUUAUUAUUGAAGAUCCUUAUUAUGGGAAUGACUCUGACUUUGAGGCGGUGUACCAGCAGUGUGUCAGGUGUUGCACGGCAUUCCUGGAGAAGGCGCACCGAGGCUAGCCGUGCUCUGCUGCAGGAGGUGGUCCGUCCUCACCCUCUGCAUUUCUCAGCCAGUGUGCUCCACAGUCCAAGGCCCCAGCUGUUUCUUCAGUUGAUUUACUGUUUCAUAUCUUAAAAAUAAUUGUAGAUGCAAUUCAGUUGUGUUUGGCAGAAGAAAAAAUAAAAAUCUUUGAUUCAGACAGUUUAUGGGGGAGUUUAUGGAGUAUAUCAAGUGUUUGUACACUAGUUGAACCUCCCAGUUUGCCCCAAUUACAAAAACAGUGGAACAAACAGCACUGGAAGGCACUUCAGAAAGUUCGUGGAAAGAUCUGUAUGUCCUGCAAUUCUGUUUUUCCACGAACUUUUUGAAGUGCCUUCAUGUAGAACAACAAAAAUGAAGUAAAACAUCACUUGAAAGGCCCAGGUCAGCACCUGAGCCCAUUGAGACUUAGGAAAUUGAGUCUACCUCUGCAGUGGUUUGUGUGGGUAGCUUGAUGAGGACAGGUGCCCUCUCUCACCUGUGCUACCUCACUCUUUGGCCCAGGGCUUUUUAUUGAGUAGCAAUAGCCUGUGCAUAGGAGAUCACAGUCUAGAUUAGAAGUGUUUUAAUUCACACACACCCAUAGUGCACACUUGUAUGUUUAAAAAACAGGAAGGAGAAAAAUUUUUGGAAUUAAUCUUCAGCACGUGUAAUACUUCUUUUGUCUGGUUUAUUUCAUGAGGUCAAAUUAUUUGCUCCUAUUUGAACCACUUUGCCUCUGAAAAUUUAAUUAUAUACAGAAGUAUGGACACUUGUAUGCUGGUUUAUCUUAUGGUCAGUUGAAGAAUAUGUCUGUUUUACAUACACGUGUAAACUAAAUGUCAGGUAUAAAUUGGAUUAGGUGGGAAAAAAUAAUUUCAAAAGUUGGAAAAAGUUCUAUUGCAUUGGCGUGCUUAAAUUGAUGUGUUAAUAAGUAUUCGUCAGCAUUUAAUAAUCUUACAGGUAAAUAUAGGUAAUUUCUGUGUACUUUGGGAUAACUAAUCUCAAAUCCAUAUGGAUAUAAGUCAGAAAAGAUUGUUGUCAGAAUAAACCGGGGAGUUAUAAAAAUACAAGUGAGAUAUAAAUUUGGUGUUUGUCUGCUGUUUUACUGACAAGUGAAGAAACAUUUGAAAACACUGCCUUUGUUGUCGUUUUCAAAUGAUCUGUGAUGUUAUGUUGUGUAUCUUUGUCUUCAGUGUUAGGAAGUAAAAUGAAGAAAAUAAGCACAUUGCUGUCACAUACAGUAAUGUCUGGUUUAUGAAAGAAGUUUCAGGUCACUGUGGGCAGAGCGUCCUUGCCUAACCUUGCCAUGGGCAUCCCCAAUUCCAGCUCAGCAGGUGAGAGACAGUUUGCCCCAUUCCCUGCCUUGAUUUGCCAUUCGUAGCUGGUGACCUCAAAUCCUGGGAGAUCUUUUAGUAAAAGGAAAAGUCAGUCCUUAUCCAAAGGCUGAGUGGAUCAUCACCCAAGGAAUGUGAAGAGUUUAGAACAAUGAGUGAUUGUUCUCCUGGCCUCUGUCACAAGGUUCCCCAGUGGCAGGGGAGGAGCCCCGUAAAAGUACGGCAGUGUCUUCACAGAAGGGGGUUUUCUAGCUGAGUGUGUCUGGUUCCUGGUGGAACUACUCGGACAUAUAGAAAACUUAAGAGGUUAAAUAGAUUGGGAAUCUGAUAAUGGUAUCCUCAAAGUGUAAAGAAUUGGGAAGAAAAGGUCAAGUAAUGAACCACAACUAGAAAAUAGGACUAAGUAAGAACACUUCAGAAGUUAUGCCCUGUCCUGCUCAUUCAGUUACUGCUUAACCUCAAAGUCAAGAAAUUUUUCUGUUCCUUUAUGUUCAUAAAUAAAAUCCUACAGCUUGUUUUAACAGUUCCUCUAA